CAGGAUCAUUGGGGGCCACCUUGGAGGCUGGCCACCUGUUAUGGGCUAAAUUGUGUGCCCCCAAAAUUCGGACGUGGAAGUCCUGAGCGUCAGCACCUCAAACCUUGACUGUAUUUGGAGACAGGGCCUUUAAAGAGGUGAUGAAGUUAAAGUGAGGUCAUCAGGGUGGACCCUAGUCCAACAUGGCUGACGUCCUUCUAGGAAGAGGAGAUUAGGACACAGGCGGAUACAGAGGGAAGACCACGUGAAGACACGGAGAAGCCAGCCGUCUACAGGCCAGGGAGAGAGGCCUCAGAAGGAACCAACCCUGCUGACACCGGACCUUGGACGUCCAGCCUCCAGGCGUGGGGAAAACGUCUGCUGUGCCAGCCGCCCAGCGCGGUACCGCCGGGGGAGCAGACUCCGACACCGGCCCCUCUCCGAGCCAGGCGCCCCACGACAGGAGGCCCUCGGGGGUGUGGCUCCUCCUCCCUCCCGGUGCCCGCCUGUGCCGCAGAGCACAGGGGGAUGCCACGAUCUCGGGGCCACCACUGCUGGUCUCAGUUCAUCCCCGCGGGGACUGUGAUCCCCUUUGAGAGCCCGCGGGAUGAAUCUGGAACUGGCUCUGGAGAAGAGAAACAGGCGGCGGCUGGCAGAGGAAGGCUUUCCUUUCAGGGGCUGCUGGGGCCUUAGGGAGGGUUAUGGGGGAGAGGUGUGCAGCCCCCUCUCCCCCGGGGCGCCCACCUCGAGCUCCUUCCCUCGGCCCAGCGCUCGGCGAACACGCGCAUCCCCUCCCCAGCACGCCUGCGCCCUGGGGGUCUGCAGCCCCCUCUCAGAGACCACGCCCCGCACGGCCGCCCAGCCGGCGAACCAGCCAGGGCGAGGUCGACCGCGAGUUCGGUUCCAGGCGCGCUUGCUCCAAAGCCCCUGCCCCUUCCUCCCGCCCGCUGCCUCCCAGCCAGCCUCCGGGGCUUCCAGCCUGUUCUCCUCUGUAGCCCCGGCACAGCGUCUGGCGCAGAAGAGCGGCUCGAUUCAUAGUUGCUGUGAAAUGGAAGAAUGAGUGAAAGAAAAUUCAGUGAAAAAAAUGAAACAGGGUAUAGAAAACAGCAAGCUGGUGACCAUAUUGAAAGGGACAUUUCGCCCAAGUUCCACCUCCUCCAGGAAGCCCCCCUGACCACGCACUCACAGAGGUCUGGCCUGGGCGCCGUCCGCUGGUACUUAGACGGGUCAGCAAGAGUCGCCAGAACGCGGGGACCAGAGCAGCAGGUCAGGCAGGCACGCUGGGGCCCUGGAGACCAUCAGAUGGCCCUGAGGGGCCUCCCCACAGGGCAGGCGCGGAGCUGCCGCACCCCACGCAGUUCCUUUAGCCUUCCUGGCUCAGCGCGAAGGAAAGAAUUUUCUACCUUGCUAAGCUCCGUUUCCACGUGCACGAGGGAGCUCAGUUACUUGCCCAAAGUCACAAUAGAGCAUGUGCCGAGCCAGAACUCAGGCCCAGAACUGCCUGGUGCCUGAGCUUGUCGCUAAGGAGCCUGCCCCUCGAGAAGGCUGCCCAGGCUGCAGGCGAGCACUGCAACUGGAGGAAGAGAUGCACCUUGCAUCUCCAGCAGGAAGUUGCCUCCUGCUCUACUACUCCUGUGGAGGAAGGAAGAUUUUCUUUUUGCCCAGCAACAAGCCCAGCCAAUGAAAAAUACCCCAGCUCAGCCAACAAGGACCUGUCAUCACCCUGAACUCUUCCUCUCCUCCAAUGAAAUUUCAUUUAGAACAGCCCCUCCCAACUCCCCCUUUUUCACUAUAAAAGCAAGCUCCCCGCCUUUGUUCUCAGGACCUGCCUGUGGCUCAGCAUAGUUCAC
ensembl:lncRNA